UCCGAGUUGACCCCGGCAGUCUCCCAUGAGUCCCCGCCAUCACGCGCUGGCAACAUGGAACGAGGGUUGCGCUCGUUGCGGGACUUAACCCAACAUCUCACGACACGAGCUGACGACAGCCAUGCAGCACCUGUAUGAAAGUCAGUACCAUCCCGUUAAGGACUGGUUUUGUUGUUCAUAUGUCAAGGGCUGGUAAGGUGGGGAUGACGUUCGUCUGAC
rnacentral:misc_RNA from 1 species